rnacentral:rRNA from 1 species
GACGAACGCUGGCGGCGUGCUUAACACAUGCAAGUCGAACGGAAAGGCCCUGCUUUUGUGGGGUGCUCGAGUGGCGAACGGGUGAGUAACACGUGAGUAACCUGCCCUUGACUUUGGGAUAACUUCAGGAAACUGGGGCUAAUACCGGAUAGGAGCUCCUGCUGCAUGGUGGGGGUUGGAAAGUUUCGGCGGUUGGGGAUGGACUCGCGGCUUAUCAGCUUGUUGGUGGGGUAGUGGCUUACCAAGGCUUUGACGGGUAGCCGGCCUGAGAGGGUGACCGGCCACAUUGGGACUGAGAUACGGCCCAGACGCCUACGGGAGGCAGCAGUGGGGAAUAUUGCACAAUGGGCGGAAGCCGGAUGCAGCAACGCCGCGUGCGGGAUGACGGCCUUCGGGUUGUAAACCGCUUUCGCCUGUGACGAAGCGUGAGUGACGGUAAUGGGUAAAGAAGCACCGGCUAACUACGU